AGAGACGUCGGCUCCUGGGUUCUAGGCGGCUGCUGCUCGCACAGCCAGAGCAGUUGGGCCGCCUCCCGCUGCCUGGUGCCGCCCCCCUCCCCACGCGGAGAUGUCGCCUCGGGUACCCUCUUCCGCCCCUCUCCGAGGGGCUGCUGCACCAGCCAAUCGGGAACCCCGAUGCGCGUCUGUUGGCUGCCACUCAGCUGUCAACCGUCAGUCAACAGUCUGCUGGCCACGGGCCCCCCAACUGUCAGUCAACCUGUCAGUCAACAGGCAGAGGGCUGCAUUCCUUCGUUCGUAUGUUCCUUGGUUCAUUCAUUCAGAGACCUCCGAAGUGUUUCUUGAGGAAAUGUGGCUGCAGACCCUAGAAGAAGCUACACAGCACUUGCCAGGGCUGGGAUGAUGUCCAGGCCAUGGAAACACCGUGUACCUGGUCCCAGGAAGAUGAAGUGUGGGCCCAGAGACUAAUGGCUUGAGCAUCUCAGGCUAAGGUUGCCGAGAAGUAGACAGCACCUCUAGAUCCUAGUCAACAUCUCUACAGGCUUGAAGUCUCCCCAGAGGGCAAGGUUGGAAUAAAUCUGAAGCCUGUGGCUUGCCUGGGAGCUGCCCAGACUGUGGCAUCUGGGGAGUGACUUUUUAAUUUUAAUUUUAUUUUGAGACAGAGUCUUGCUCUGUCACACGGCUGGAGUGCAGUGGCGCAAUCUCAGCUCACUGAAACCUCCACCUCCUGGGUUCAAGCCAUUCUACUGACUCAGCCUCCCAAGCAGCUCGGAUUACAGGCACCCACCACCAUGCCCAGCUAUUUUUCGUAUUUUUAGUAGAGACGGGGUUUCACCAUGUUGGCCAGGAUGGUCUCGAACUCCUGAGCUCAGGCAAUCUGCCCACCUUGGUCUCCCAAAGUGCUAGGAUUAUAGGCGUCAGCCACCGCACCCGACUGGGAGUGACUUUUAGUCUCCCUGCCAGCAGCACUCAGCUCCAAGCUAUAGCAGCCCCAGGUGUAUCUGUGACACCUUUGGGCCUCAGCCAGGGAGUCAGGUGUGCUUCACAAGAGACUCAGGCAUUAGGCUCCCCCAGGAGGGGUGCUUUGUCUCUCUGCACCCCACUGCAGGUGAGAGCGCUACAGCUUGUGCAAUAUUUGCUGAAAGAAGCCAUGGAGGCUGGGUGCGGUGGCUCAUGCCUGUAAUCCCAGCACACUGGGAGGCCUAGGCGGGCAGAUCACCUGAGGUCGGGAGUUCAAGACCAGCCUGGCCAACAUGGAGAAACCCCAUCCCUACUAAAAAUACAAAAAUUAGCCGGGUGGUAGUGGCACAUGCCUGCAAUCCCAGCUACUCGGGAGGCUGAGGCAGGAGAAUCGCUUGAACCCGGGAGGCGGAGGUUGCGGUGAGCCGAGAUCGUGCCACUGCACUCCAGCCUGAGCAACAAGAGCGAAACUCCGAAACGCCGUCUCAAAAAAAAAAAAAGAAAGAAAGAGGCCAUGCAGGUGCCUCUAAUUAUCACCACAGUAAUUAUAGGAUAGCUUCUUCCACCAAGUGUGUUCAAAAGAGACUUGGGGAGUCUCCCCCAGGAUGGGUCCUCUGCUUUAGGCACAGACUCCAGGAAGCUGGCAUUACAAGGUCUGUCUGGGCUGCUUAAGCAUUGUUUCUGAGAACAUCAAGGCUUAGGUCUGACCUGGCUCUACCAGUCCCUCCAGGCCAUUUCUCCCCUCUGUCAUCCACCCCUCGCCCCCACACACAUGCAUGUGCACUUUGUUUAUAUUCCAUAGUGACCUGCUUGUAGCUUCCCCACGGGCUGUGUUCUUUUUUGCUUCCAAUCCUCUGAUCAAGUCCAGGAGGUUUCCCAUUGGGUCUUUCUUUUUUUUUUUUUUUUUAGACAAAGUAUCACUCUGUCGCCGAGGCUGGUGUGCAGUGGCGCCAUCUCAGCUCACUGCAACUUUCGCCUCCUGGGUUCAAG
rnacentral:lncRNA from 10 species